AGCACAGAGACAGACGGCUCCCCUCAAGUCUUUUGAGGGGCUUAUCCCUUCGAUUCAACCACUACCAAGUAGUCAAGUGAAAGUACCUGUGUCGUGAUCCCAUCUGAAUGAAGCCUGCACACUAGAGUCAGGGAAGCACCUCGUCUCAAUCUGUAACAGCUUGGAAGGGGAUGAGGAUAAGGUUAAGGUUGGGACAGUCAGUUUGUGUGUUGUAAACUAAAAGAGUGUUGUGUUGUUUCUAGAGAGAGGGGGGAGCUUCUCUCUCUACAUUCUCCACAACUGAAUGUUUGAUAUUGCUGGUAUAAAGUCUCUGCAGGUUCCUGGUGGCAUCUUUCAUAGACAUUCUAUCCGAUGUUCUUGCGGCAGCAGAAUCUCGAGACGACUUCGACGACGUCGCUUCCGCCGGGGACUUCAAGAAUGUACGGGCUCAUGGCGGGCUCGGUGUCGCGGGUUAUGAUGACGGGAGGCUUGGGCUUGUUCUUGGAGCCGGGAGGGCGGCCCCUGGGCCUGCGGCCGACUUCAAUGGUGGCGCCGUCGCCGUCAGUGGGGUUGUUGGGAUCUGAAACAAGCGGCUUGGUGGUUGUGCCGCUGCUGGUUCGGCUGGUGUCUUCUUCUUCAGAAGUUUGAGGCUGACAUUCGCGGACUAGGGUGAUCUGAAAUGGGUUGGAGAAAUGGUGGUGGUAGUGUUGCUGCUGGGGGUGGUGGGGGUGAGGAUGAGAUUGUGGGUUGUUAUGAUGGUGAAGCUUCGAGAACAUGUUUUGGGUUUCACUCUUGGUGUCACCACCUCCGUAUUCACCUUCCAUGGAAUGGCUUGAAUCUGUUCAGAUCCGUCCGAUCUGGGUUAGGUCCUCACAAUCACGUGUAUUGCGAAGAAGAAGAGUUGGAGAGUGUUAACUUUUCAUUAAGGGUAAUUAUGACAUUUUAUUGCUUCAUAAGGUUAUUUUUCAACUAUUUCAAAAAACCAGGCUAUAAUUCAAUUUGAAGAUCAAAAAAAGAUUAUUCUUUAAAAUUUCUCUCAUUUUAUGUUAUUUUUGGAACAAACAUUGGUCCUUUUAUUUGUGUAAUUAAUAAUUUGAUUUUAUAUGUCUCAUUUUAUUUGUUGAAGUAAUAUGCUUAUUAUUUGUUUUGGAGAAUGAUUUAUCCUGCAAAUUAUAUAAAAAAUUGAUUUCAUUUCAUUUUCUUGGAAUAAAAGAAAACAACGCGUUUAGAAACGCGCUAAAUUUGAGACCCUAAUACAUAGCACGACGCCGUAUUGGCAACCGACCCUUUCCUUUUCCUUGUCCUAUAUAUUCGGAGUCUGAGGAGAAUAAGAAGAUCACUCUCUGAAAUCACUGUGUGGGUCUUGCGUUUCAUAAGGGAUCUCCAAUUGCACUCGCUUCGCUUAUUUGUUUUCUUCUAUCACUCUUAGUUUCUGGGUUUUGCGCUUCAGAAUUGCAGCUAUGGGUUGCGAUUCUAAAAGAAGGCGUAGAGAGGAUGUGGGUGACACAACGAUUUCAUCAUCCAAGAAGCAAAAGCUGAUGCCGGUGACAGGUUUGGAGCAGACCCAAAAGCUUCUUUGUUGCGGCAUCUUGCAGGAGCUAAUUGAUCACCGUCUUGGCGCUGUGGCUGUUCGAAUCCCUGAUUCUCAGGAGGUUCGAAGGCCUAUGGAUCUGUCCACCGUCAAAUCCAAGUUGGAGAGAGACAACUACUCCAGUAUUGAUGCCUUUGUGGCCGAUGUCAGGCUUACCUUCCAAAACGUGUUAUGGUGUUACCCUCUUGGAGCUAAACAGCGUGCAAUGGCCAGGAAUCUUGUUUGGAUAGGUUUGUGUCUCCUAUUAGUCCAGUGAGUCCAUUAAGUCUUAAACAACUCAACAACAACAACAACAAAAGAGAGGCCAAGAGGUCAUCCAGAAACCUUGACGAAAAGAAGGGUUCUGCUUCUGCUAUCACUUCUGCAGUGGAUAAAGAUAAGGAACACCGAAUCAAGCGCGGCCUUGACGAAGGGAAGGGUUCUGCUUCUGCUAUCACUUGUGCAGUGAAUAAAUAUAAGGAGCUCCGAAUCAAGCGGCUAAGGGAACAGGCUCGUAAGGAAAUUUUGAGGGUUGAAGAGGCUGCUCGCUUGAAAGUCGAGAAUCCUUUACAAGAUCUUCAACAACUCAAGUUGUUGUGCAGUGGUGGCAUCAAACAGGAUUCUUGUUACAGGGUUUAUCGUUGGUUGCCACUUGAGAAGUUGGGCAUCUAUUUGAAGAGGGAUGAACUUGAAGAUGUUGAUGAGGAUGAAUUUCGCAUUGGAGAUUGGGAAGAAGGUGAAAUCCGUUGAUGGAGCUCGCAGAAUUUCCAUUUUACUUAAUUGAUUAUCACUUCUUUAACUUGAAAUUCUUUGUUGAAAUUAAAGAAACUGAAAACAGUUUCUUCUCUAAUUGUCUGUCCCUUGCAUUGUGAUUUGUUAUGGUGAGCAGAUGGAGAACAGAGUCCACAAACAACUAAAUAUUACAUCCACAUAUGGUGGCAUAUCAUCAUCAUCGUCAAGUACAUACUGCUGCGUAGCAAAAUUUAUUCUAUGUACAAAAAUUCAUGUACAUAGAAUAAAUUUUGUAUUUAGUGUGCUCCAAUAUUUGCUGUACUUGGUUGAGUAUUGAGGAGUUCUCUUCCAAGGCUUGACAGAGGGGUGGUAGUGGAACUCUAUUGAAGAUGUAUUUCCCAGGUCAGGCAUUUGCCAAGAAUCAUUGUCGACCCGUGUAUACAAAGUCCGAUCUUAAGAAUCAAAAAUGUGCUCAUUCGACAGUGGCAGAAAGAGCAAGGUCCAAAAUUUGCACAAGUUUUCUAAGUGUUGGAUUGCUUUCAUUACAUAUGGUAGGUUGCCUCAUGAGUUGGCAAGUAGUCUAACCACUCUAGUCCUUAAAGUGGUAGAUCUGAAGACUGUGGUCCCCAAGUGAGGAAACUAAUUAGUCCUACCCAAGUGCAUAAGGUUCAUUUUGGAAGGUUUGUUUCCGGCAUAUUGCUAGUUUCUCAAGAGAUUCUUCAUACCUUCAAGGACACUAAGAUUUACAAGUUAAGGUCUAUGUUAAACUAAAGUGGAAACUGAUUGAAGGGGUACUAAGCAGGAGUGCCAAUUCUGGGUUACUUGUACUGAACUCUCCAUCUUUUCUUUCAAGGAAGACUUUCAGAGGUCUUCUGGCCGGUUUGCAUACCUUAUACAACUUUAUAUUCAACGGUGUACUACUUUCAAAGAUUGCUGGAAGGAAUUGGGAAAUUACUUUCAUCAUCAAGGUCAUCAACUAUGUGGAAACAUACCUACCAUUGCCUUUGCUUAUGAAGAAUUUGGAAGUGCAGGACUCAGAAGAUAUAUGAGCGUUGCGAGCUGUGCGUUUAUUGAUGGCUCAGGUUAACCAUCGAGUCUGUACGCUGUUGCUACAGCUCAGCAUAGGAGCUAAGACAACUAAACAGCAUUAACUACUGGCAAUUGCCACCACUAGGUUAUGUGGAUUGCCAUGGUCUCAUGGAGCAUGGAUAAAGGGACUACAAGUACUAGCUGGAGGAGCGGGUUGCAUUAUAUGGAAUGAAAAUGAUGACUUUUUGAGUGUGGUAUAUGUAGUGGAUGAAAGUGUUAUGGCGGAGGCUAAGGCUGAGGGUCAUUUCCUAGUGGCAUUGAUAUGCGCAAGGAUGGAAGUAUGCCACCACAUAGUCAGACGCAAAGGAUCUCAUUUGACCAACUUCAAGGCGGUCACAUUCUAGACCUGCCGAGAUGGAGCGGAAGGGUUGCUGCAUGAUAUUACUUCUUUGGUGCAGCGUUUAGAGAUGGUAUGUUUUUCUUAUGUUUUCUAGAGGAUUUAAAGGCAACACACUUUUUGGCAACAAAUGUAACCAUACGUGGGAAAUUGCAUGUUCCUAGGAUUCUUCUAUACGUUUGUUGGCUACAGAGCUUGAAACUGAUCCAGCAUUUUUUUGGUUACAAGAAACUGAUCUAAUUUUGAUGUUUAAUUUAAGAAAAUUUCCAGUUGGUUUGAAAAUAAAUAAAUAAUAAACACUUCCAUUUUUGAAUUCUAACA